UACGUAGGGGGCGAGCGUUGUCCGGAUUUAUUGGGCGUAAAGAGCUCGUAGGCGGUUCGAUAAGUCGGGUGUGAAAACUCUGGGCUCAACUCAGAGGCGCCACCCGAUACUGUUGUGACUUGAGUUCGGUAGGGGAGACUGGAAUUCCUGGUGUAGCGGUGAAAUGCGCAGAUAUCAGGAGGAACACCGAUGGCGAAGGCAGGUCUCUGGGCCGAUACUGACGCUGAGGAGCGAAAGCGUGGGAGCGAACAGG
rnacentral:rRNA from 1 species